UUCCGGUUGAUCCUGCCAGACCCGACUGCUAUCAGAGUGGGACUAAGCCAUGCGAGUCAACGCCGCAAGGCGUGGCAUACGGCUCAGUAACACGUAGUCAACAUGCCCAGGGGACGUGGAUAACCUCGGGAAACUGAGGAUAAACCGCGAUAGGCCAAGGUUUCUGGAAUGGACACUGGCUGAAACCUAUACGGCCCCUGGAUUGGACUGCGGCCGAUCAGGCUGUUGGUGAGGUAAUGGCCCACCAAACCUGUAACCGGUACGGGCUUUGAGAGAAGGAGCCCGGAGAUGGGCACUGAGACAAGGGCCCAGGCCCUAUGGGGCGCAGCAGGCGCGAAACCUCUGCAAUAGGCGAAAGCUUGACAGGGUUACUCUGAGUGAUGCCCGCUAAGGGCAUCUUUUGGCACCUCUAAAAAUGGUGCAGAAUAAGGGGUGGGCAAGUCUGGUGUCAGCCGCCGCGGUAAUACCAGCACCCCGAGUGGUCGGGACGAUUAUUGGGCCUAAAGCAUCCGUAGCCGGUUCUGCAAGUCUUCCGUUAAAUCCACCUGCUCAACAGAUGGGCUGCGGGGGAUACUACAGGGCUAGGAGGCGGGAGAGGCAAGCGGUACUCAGUGGGUAGGGGUAAAAUCCUCUGAUCCACUGAAGACCACCAGUGGCGAAGGCGGCUUGCCAGAACGCGCUCGACGGUGAGGGAUGAAAGCUGGGGGAGCAAACCGGAUUAGAUACCCGGGUAGUCCCAGCUGUAAACGAUGCAGACUCGGUGAUGGGUUGGCCUCGAGCCAACCCAGUGCCGCAGGGAAGCCGUUAAGUCUGCCGCCUGGGGAGUACGGUCGCAAGACUGAAACUUAAAGGAAUUGGCGGGGGAGCACCACAAGGGGUGAAGCCUGCGGUUCAAUUGGAGUCAACGCCGGG
rnacentral:rRNA from 1 species